GAAUAUGGGAGCUGAGUAGAAUUGGGGGGAGCAAAUCCGAUUGUCCCAACAGUUGCCCUCCACUCCCAAGGUUAAGGUGGCUUGACGUGUUGGAUGAUGGGAGUCGGUGUAUCUUCUGUCAUGACUUCGAGUCUCGAUUCUAUGGUCAUUUCAGUUGAUAAUAAAAGAUAUUUUUUUUGUUACCGGACCUUAGUCCGAUUUUGUAGCCUUCAGUUCGUAGUAAAAGAAAUUUUUCUUUGUGUUGUCUCUUUGAAUGUGAUCAUCAUUCAUCAUAGA
rnacentral:lncRNA from 1 species